rnacentral:rRNA from 1 species
GAUGAACGCUGGCGGCGUGCCUAAUACAUGCAAGUCGAGCGAACGGACGAGAAGCUUGCUUUUCUGAUGUUAGCGGCGGACGGGUGAGUAACACGUGGAUAACCUACCUAUAAGACUGGGAUAACUUCGGGAAACCGGAGCUAAUACCGGAUAAUAUUUUGAACCGCAUGGUUCAAAAGUGAAAGACGGUCUUGCUGUCACUUAUAGAUGGAUCCGCGCUGCAUUAGCUAGUUGGUAAGGUAACGGCUUACCAAGGCAACGAUGCAUAGCCGACCUGAGAGGGUGAUCGGCCACACUGGAACUGAGACACGGUCCAGACUCCUACGGGAGGCAGCAGUAGGGAAUCUUCCGCAAUGGGCGAAAGCCUGACGGAGCAACGCCGCGUGAGUGAUGAAGGUCUUCGGAUCGUAAAACUCUGUUAUUAGGGAAGAACAUAUGUGUAAGUAACUGUGCACAUCUUGACGGUACCUAAUCAGAAAGCCACGGCUAACUACGUGCCAGCAGCCGCGGUAAUACGUAGGUGGCAAGCGUUAUCCGGAAUUAUUGGGCGUAAAGCGCGCGUAGGCGGUUUUUUAAGUCUGAUGUGAAAGCCCACGGCUCAGCCGUGGAGGGUCAUUGGAAACUGGAAAACUUGAGUGCAGAAGAGGAAAGUGGAAUUCCAUGUGUAGCGGUGAAAUGCGCAGAGAUGUGGAGGAACACCAGUGGCGAAGGCGACUUUCUGGUCUGUAACUGACGCUGAUGUGCGAAAGCGUGGGGAUCAAACAGGAUUAGAUACCCUGGUAGUCCACGCCGUAAACGAUGAGUGCUAAGUGUUAGGGGGUUUCCGCCCCUUAGUGCUGCAGCUAACGCAUUAAGCACUCCGCCUGGGGAGUACGACCGCAAGGUUGAAACUCAAAGGAAUUGACGGGGGCCCGCACAAGCGGUGGAGCAUGUGGUUUAAUUCGAAGCAACGCGAAGAACCUUACCAAAUCUUGACAUCCUUUGACAACUCUAGAGAUAGAGCCUUCCCCUUCGGGGGACAAAGUGACAGGUGGUGCAUGGUUGUCGUCAGCUCGUGUCGUGAGAUGUUGGGUUAAGUCCCGCAACGAGCGCAACCCUUAAGCUUAGUUGCCAUCAUUAAGUUGGGCACUCUAAGUUGACUGCCGGUGACAAACCGGAGGAAGGUGGGGAUGACGUCAAAUCAUCAUGCCCCUUAUGAUUUGGGCUACACACGUGCUACAAUGGACAAUACAAAGGGCAGCGAAACCGCGAGGUCAAGCAAAUCCCAUAAAGUUGUUCUCAGUUCGGAUUGUAGUCUGCAACUCGACUACAUGAAGCUGGAAUCGCUAGUAAUCGUAGAUCAGCAUGCUACGGUGAAUACGUUCCCGGGUCU